rnacentral:lncRNA from 1 species
AUGGGCCAGUCAGGAGACCUCAUUUACCCUUCCCAGUUCUUUGUAGUUCCACCAUCAGCAUCAGCAGAAGGCCUUGAAGGCAGCUCUUGUAAAAAGCACCAAUCAUAUGGAGGGGGAGAUACGCCACAGCUCUUGCCACAAGAGAAUAAAAUACUUGGAUUGUCGAAUGUUGACCUCGAAGUCCUGAAAAUUCUUGAAGUAUCUACUGAAUCAUGGAAGCACAAUGGAAGAGAAAAAGAGAAAGAUAGCUGUUAACUCUUCUUCUAGAACUCAACACCUACUGCCUUUUAUUUUAUCCAUCAAAAUAUGAAGAAAGAGGAAAAGAAACACAGGAGAUAAAUUUAUAAAGGGAGUUCAAUUUCUUAAUUUUAGCUCCCAUUUUGCACAAUGAUGUUAAAAGUCCAUACACUUCAAAUUAAUAGAGAUUUAAUACACCCAAAUACCAAGGGAAUAUAAUCAUUUUUGCCACUGUCUGAAUAAUUAUUUUAUAAUAUAGUGUGUGUGUGCGUGUGUGUGUGUGUGUGUGUGUGUGUGUGUGUGAACUAGAAAGUAAAAUGGAAUCUAGUAUGUUGAAUAAAAUAUAUACUCUUGUGAGGAAAUAAAGCCA